rnacentral:lncRNA from 1 species
CCACCUGCAAACAAAGUCUCUCUUUGACAUUUACCCACCACCGUUUCAACCUGCGCAGUCUCUCCUUUUCCCUCCCCUUCUGAAUUUUAACAAAUAUCCCUCUUCUGUAAAGUGGCUGGGAAAAAAAAAAGGAAAACAGAUCACAAUGGCUUAGACAAAUAAGCGUUUAUUUCCCCCAUCACUGUGAACCUGGAGACCAGCCAUGGUUGGCAUUGUUUCCCCAGCCCAGUGAUGGCAGGGCUGACGUCCUCUGUAAUGCGCUUGGCGUUUCCCCCUUGUUUACAGCGUGGCUGAUGCUGCUCCUGGCAUUGCAUCUGCCUCCGCAUUUAAGACAGAAAGGAAAAGGAAUGGUUACUUUCAGGGUUAAUUGAAAGCAUUUGUCACUUUUGUCAAUAAUUUCCCAGGCACCCCACCCCCUCACCCCCCACCCCCACCCCUGCCACACACACACAAUGAGAUCUAAUGAGACUCCUUAGAUGUCAUUGGCCAAAACUGUGUCACAUGGUCACUCCUAGCUGUAACAAAGGCAGAGAAGCCCCGAGCAGGAUCUCAUAUCACCUGGCUGAUCCUCCUGGGGUGGGACCAAUUCUGGAAACUGCAGUUGCAGGUGGAAGAACCUGGACUUCGGAAUCACAAAGACCUGAGUUCUCUGCUCCCCAAGGCCAGCAGUGAGUCCUCGAGCAAGUCCCACACUACAAAGGAGGAAACUGAGGCUCAGAGGGGUUUAGCGACACACAGUAAGCGCUCCAUCAAAAGCGGCCAUUCAGGCUGGGCAUGGCGGCUCAUGCCUAUAAAUCCCGGCACUUUGGGAGGCCAAGAUGGGUGGAUCACUUGAGCUUAGGAGUUCAAGACCAUGGUAACAUGAUGAAAUCCCACCUCUACAAAAUAAAAAACUAGCCAGGCAUGGUAGUGUGGACGUGUAGUCCCAGCUACUCAGGAGGCUGAAGGGGGAGGAUCACUGGAGCCCAGGAGAUCAAGGCUGCAAUGAGCUAUGAUAGCACCACUGCCCUCAAGCCUGGGCGACAGAGUGAGACCCUGUCUCAAAAAACAAACAGCCAGAAGCCGUGGCUCAGGCCUGUAAUCCUAGCACUUUGGGAGGCUGAAGUGGGUGGAUCACUCAAGGUCAGGAGUUUGGAACCAGC